rnacentral:rRNA from 1 species
AGCUCAAUAGCGUAUAUUAAAGUUGUUGCAGUUAAAAAGCUCGUAGUUGAAUUUCGGGGUUAGUAGAUUGGUCGUGCCACUGGUAUGCACUGGUCUUACUGAUUCCUCCUUCCUGAUGAACCGUAAUGCCAUUAAUUUGGUGUUGCGGGGAGACUGGACUGUUACUUUGAAAAAAUUAGAGUGUUUAAAGCAGGCUAACGCUUGAAUACAUUAGCAUGGAAUAAUGAAAUAGGACGUUCGAUCCUAUUUUGUUGGUUUCUAGGAUUGACGUAAUGAUUAAUAGGGAUAGUUGGGGGCAUUAGUAUUCAAUUGUCAGAGGUGAAAUUCUUGGAUUUAUUGAAGACUAACUACUGCGAAAGCAUUUGCCAAGGAUGUUUUCAUUAAUCAAGAACGAAAGUUAGGGGAUCGAAGACGAUCAGAUACCGUCGUAGUCUUAACCAUAAACUAUGCCGACUAGGGAUCGGAUGAUGUUAUUUUUAAUGACUCAUUCGGCGCCUUACG